rnacentral:rRNA from 1 species
GACGAACGCUGGCGGCGUGCUUAACACAUGCAAGUCGAACGGAAAGGCCCUGCUUUUGUGGGGUGCUCGAGUGGCGAACGGGUGAGUAACACGUGAGUAACCUGCCCUUGACUUUGGGAUAACUUCAGGAAACUGGGGCUAAUACCGGAUAGGAGCUCCUGCUGCAUGGUGGGGGUUGGAAAGUUUCGGCGGUUGGGGAUGGACUCGCGGCUUAUCAGCUUGUUGGUGGGGUAGUGGCUUACCAAGGCUUUGACGGGUAGCCGGCCUGUGAGGGUGACCGGCCACAUUGGGACUAAGAUACGGCCCAGACUCCUACGGGAGGCAGCAGUGGGGAAUAUUGCACAAUGGGCGGAAGCCUGAUGCAGCAACGCCGCGUGCGGGAUGACGGCCUUCGGGUUGUAAACCGCUUUCGCCUGUGACGAAGCGUGAGUGACGGUAAUGGGUAAAGAAGCACCGGCUAACUACGUG